rnacentral:misc_RNA from 1 species
GAUGAAGAACGUAGCGAAAUGCGAUAAGUAAUGUGAAUUGCAGAAUUCAGUGAAUCAUCGAAUCUUUGAACGCACAUUGCGCCCCCUGGUAUUCCGGGGGGCAUGCCUGUUCGAGCGUCAUUUCACCACUCAAGCCUCGCUUGGUAUUGGGCAACGCGGUCCGCCGCGUGCCUCAAAUCGACCGGCUGGGUCUUCUGUCCCCUAAGCGUUGUGGAAACUAUUCGCUAAAGGGUGCUCGGGAGGCUACGCCGUAAAACAAACCCAUUUCUAAGGUUGACCUCGGAUCAGGUAGGGAUACCCGCUGAACUUAAGCAUAUCAGUAAGCGGAGGA